rnacentral:rRNA from 1 species
GAUGAACGCUGGCGGCGUGCCUAACACAUGCAAGUCGAACGAAGCACUUUGAAGUUUUCGGGCGAAUAAGUGACUGAGUGGCGGACGGGUGAGUAACGCGUGGGUAACCUGCCUCAUACAGGGGGAUAACAGUUAGAAAUGACUGCUAAUACCGCAUAAGCGCACAGAGCUGCAUGGCUCAGUGUGAAAAACUCCGGUGGUAUGAGAUGGACCCGCGUCUGAUUAGCUAGUUGGUAAGGUAACGGCUUACCAAGGCGACGAUCAGUAGCCGACCUGAGAGGGUGACCGGCCACAUUGGGACUGAGACACGGCCCAAACUCCUACGGGAGGCAGCAGUGGGGAAUAUUGCACAAUGGGGGAAACCCUGAUGCAGCAACGCCGCGUGAUUGAAGAAGUAUUUCGGUAUGUAAAGAUCUAUCAGCAAGGAAGAAAAUGACGGUACUUGACUAAGAAGCCCCGGCUAACUACGUGCCAGCCGCCGCGGUAAAAC